GUGCCAGCCGCCGCGGUAAUACGUAGGUGGCAAGCGUUAUCCGGAAUUAUUGGGCGUAAAGCGCGCGUAGGCGGUUUUUUAAGUCUGAUGUGAAAGCCCACGGCUCAACCGUGGAGGGUCAUUGGAAACUGGAAAACUUGAGUGCAGAAGAGGAAAGUGGAAUUCCAUGUGUAGCGGUGAAAUGCGCAGAGAUAUGGAGGAACACCAGUGGCGAAGGCGACUUUCUGGUCUGUAACUGACGCUGAUGUGCGAAAGCGUGGGGA
rnacentral:rRNA from 1 species